rnacentral:rRNA from 1 species
AUGCAAGCAUGUGUUGUUACGCCUUCAAAUUCAACUAUAAACAAUGAAUCUUUAUUGCUCAAAGUAGUUAUCCCAAUAACCAGCAUAGUUUUACUUGCUAUGGUCAUGUUUGGCAUAUUGAUAUGGAGAGGAAAGCACAAGAGCAAAUCUAUAUCUCAACCAUCAUUUGGUACAAAAUUUCCCAAGGUUUCUUUUAGUGAUCUAGCCAGAGCGACACAUGGAUUCUCAAAGUGCAACUCAAUUGGUGGCAGGAGAUACAGUUCUAUAUAUCGAGGAAAACUAGUUGAAGAUGAAAUUGAGGUUGCCAUAAAAGUCUUCAACUUAGAGACAAGAGGAGCACACAAGAGCUUCAUUGCAGAAUGUAAUGUGCUGAGAAAUGUGUGGCAUCGUAAUCUGGUCCCAAUCGUAACUGCGUGCUCAAGCAUUGAUUCUACUGGUAAUGAUUUCAAGGCCCUGGUGUAUGAGUUCAUGCCACGAGGAGACUUACAUAACCUAUUAUAUACAACUAUAGACUACGAAGGCUCUUAUGAUUUGGACCUUCUUCCAAUGAGUCAAAGGUUGUGCAUCGUGGUGGGUGUAGCGGAUGCAAUGGAGUACCUACACCAUAACAACCAAGGAACAAUGGUUCAUUGUGAUCUGAAGCCUAGCAACAUUCUAUUGGAUGACAAUAUGACAGCUCAUAUUGGAGACUUUCACCUAGUAAGAUUCAAAGUUGGUUCUGCGAUGCCAUCUAUUGGUAACCCAAGCUCUUCUUCGGUUGGACUAAUGGGAACGAUCGGAUAUGCAGCUUCGGAAUAUGCAGGGGGUGGUCAUCUUUCAACUUCCACGGAUGUUUACAGCUUUGGUGUCGUCCUUCUCGAAAUAUUCCUUCGGACAAGACCAACUGAUGACAUAUUUAAGGAUGGACUGAGCAUUGUGAAGUUAACAGAGAUCAGCUUCCCUGAUAGGGUAAUGGAUAUUGUCGAUCCUCAGCUGACACAAGAGUUGGAGCUUUGCCAAGAAACUCCAACAGCCUUGAAGGAAAAAGGUGUACGCUCUCUGCUAUCUAUGCUAAAUGUUGGCCUUUCUUGCACGAAGCCUUCUCCGAAUGAACGCACCAACAUGCAGGAGGUGGUUGCUACAUGGCAUCAAAGAUGCAUAUCUCAGAGGAAAUUG